GAGUAUCUGUAUAGAUAUGGUAUAGAGUAUCUGUAUAGAUACUGUAUAGAGUAUCUGUACAGAGUAUCUGUAUAGAUACUAUAUAGAGUAUCUGUAUAGAGACUGUAUAGAGUAUCUGUAUAGAGACUGUAUAGAGUAUCUGUAUAGAUACUGUAUAGAGUAUCUGUACAGAGUAUCCGUAUAGAGUAUCUGUAUAGAUACUGUAUAGAGUAUCUGUAUAGAUCUACCAGCAGUUGUUUUUGAAGGCUGAGGGAGAACACUGUUAUACAAUUUGGUUAAAGUAUUUCCAAACAGGGAAAUGCAUAAUCAUGUGUGGAGUAGUGUCUUCGAUGUAGCCUAACUAUACUGGAGUAGUGUCCUCGAUGUAGCCUAACUAUGCUGGAGUAGUGUCUUCGAUGUAGCCUAACUAUACUGGAGUAGUGUCCUCGAUGUAGCCUAACUAUGCUGUAGUAGUGUCCUCGAUGUAGCCUAACUAUACUGGAGUAGUGUCCUCGAUGUAGCCUAACUAUGCUGUAGUAGAAAUACAGUAACUGUCAUACAGGUGUGUGGAAAUACAGUAACUGUCAUACAGGUGUGUGGAAAUACAGUAACUGUCAUACAGGUGUGUGGAAAUACAGUAACUGUCAUACAGGUGUUUGGCCUCCGGGGGGCAGACAGACAUUGUGUAGAAAAGUCAACUCUUUGAAGAAUGUGCUUCUCUAAGCAUUCAAUAUGUAGAAACAUUAUAAAGUGUUUGAUAUUACAAUCUAGCUAGGCAUAUAUUAUAUAUAUAUAUAUAUAUAUAUAUUACACACAGUCAUGUAUUAACAGAUGUAAAAAGGUUGAAUGGUAUCAAAAGCAACAAGUCAAGAAAUAUACUAUUGAUCAACAUGAUCAUGAAAU
ensembl:lncRNA